UUGAUCAUGGCUCCAGAUUGAACGCUGGCGGGAUGCUUUACACAUACAAGUCGAACAACGCUGAGCUUCGGUCGGUCUGGUGGCGAGUGGCGAACGGGUGAGUAAUGUAUCGGAACGUGCCUAGUAGCGGGGGAUAACUACGCGAAAGCGUAGCUAAUGCCGCAUACGCCCUUCGGGGGAAAGCGGGGGACCUUCAGGCCUCGCACACUAUUAGAGCGGCCGAUAUCGGAUUAGCUAGUUGGUGGGAGCCAACGGCUCGCAAGGCGACGAUCCGUAGCUGGCGGGGACGACCAACCACACUGGGACUGAGACACGGCCCAGACUCACGGGAGGCAGCAGUGGGGAAUUUUGGACAAUGGGGGAAACCUGAUCCAGCCAUCCCGCGUGUGCGAUGAAGGCCUUCGGUUGUAAAGCACUUUUGGCAGGAAAGAAACGGCACGGGAUAAUACCCCGUGCAACUGACAGUACCUGCAGAAUAAGCACCGGCUAACUACGUGCCAGCAGCCGCGGUAAUACGUAGGGUGCAAGCGUUAAUCGGAAUUACUGGGCGUAAAGCGUGCGCAGGCGGUUCGGAAGAAAAGAUGUGAAAUCCAGAGCUUAACUUUGGAACUGCAUUUUUAACUACCGAGCUAGAGUGUGUCAGAGGUGGAAUUCCUUACGUGUAACAGUGAAAUGCGUAGAUAUGCGGAGGAACACCGAUGGCGAAGGCAGCCUCCUGGGAUAACGCAGCCGCUCAUGCGAAAGCGUGGGGAGCAAAACAGGGGAUUAGAUACCCUGGUAGUCCACGCCCUAAACGAUGUCAACUAGCUGUUGGGCCUUCGGGCCUUGGUAGCGCAGCUAACGUGAAGUUGACCGCCUGGGAGAGUACGGUCGCAAGAUUAAAACUCAAAGGAAUUGACAGGGACCCGCACAAGCGGUGGAUGAUGUGGAUUAAUUCGAUGCAACGCGAAAAACCUUACCUACCCUUGACAUGUCUGGAAUCCCGAAGAGAUUUGGGAGUGCUCGCAAGAGAACCGGAACACAGGUGCUGCAUGGCUGUCGUCAGCUCGUGUCGUGAGAUGUUGGGUUAGAUCCGCAGCGACGCAACCCUUGUCAUUAGUUGCUACGAAAGGGCACUCUAAUGAGACUGCCGGUGACAAACCGGAGGAAGUUGAGGAUGACGUCAAGUCCUCAUGGCCCCUUAUGGGUAGGGCUUCACACGUCAUACAAUGGUCGGGACAGAGGGUCGCCAACCCGCGAGGGAGACAAUCCCAGAAACCCGAUCGUAGUCCGGAUCGCAGUCUGCAACUCGACUGCGUGAAGUCGGAAUCGCUAGUAAUCGCGGAUCAGCAUGUCGCGGUGAAUACGUUCCCGGGUCUUGUACCACCGCCCGUCACACCAUGGGAGUGGGUUUUACCAGAAGUAGUUAGCCUAACCCGUAAGGAGGACGAUUACCACGGUAGGAUUCAUGACUGGGGUGAAGUCGUAACAAGGUAG
rnacentral:rRNA from 1 species